CACCUUCUUCUUCUUCUUCUUCUUUUAGUGUUUAUUGGCGGUUCGCAAACCAUUUUGUCGGUGCAUUACCGCCACCAUCUGGACUGGAGUGUGGAGAAAGAGAUUAUGCAGAACACCAAGACAUGAGAUAAAGAACAUGGAGAAAAAAGAAAAAAAAACUAGAUCCGUUUGACUAAAUUUGUUUCUCUUAAAAUCUGAAUAAUGACACCAUACGUUUCAUCUGCUUGAUUCCCCAAUAGACCCGACAGUGACCAGUCCUGGUGUUUUGCCUUCUUAAGUGACUGACGAAGAUGUCCCCUCUGUAUACUGUAACUCCCGCAUUGUAAUAAUACUGUACAUGUUCCACAGUUCCUGGUUGGUCACACUGUGAGCAUUUCCCAGUUGGGUGCUUGCCUAUUUCAUGUAAUGAAUGAUUGAGUCCUGUGUGUCCUAUUCUCCAUCGAGUGAUGACGUUUCCUUCCCUUCUUUCCCUCCUUACCCAAACAUGUUUUUGAAUUUUGUAGACAUGCCUUCCAGUUUCCUGAUUAUCCCAGUACUCCUGCCAUACUUUAUUUGCAUAUGUUCUAAUGCAUUGCUUGACCUCAGAUUUGCUUAAUGGAACUAUAUAAGCCUAUAUUCUUAAUUCUGAGUGCUUGUUUGGCCAGAAUAUCAACCUGUUCAUUCCCCUCCACACCAACAUGGGCUGGUACCCAGAUGAAUUGCAUAGUUUGACCUAUACUUUCCAUCCUAUACAUUAUGAGGAAUAUUUCACUGAUUAUAUCAUUCCUGGUAUUUGAUCAACCGGAUUCUAUGCUGGAAAGUGCUGAGAAACUGUCAGAUGCAAUUACGGUGUUGUUAAUUUCCCUUUUAUCUAGCCACUGCAGGGCCAAUAGUAUUGCCAAUAGCGCUGGUAUAAAGUGGUAUAAACACACAUGAUCUGAUACUCUUUGCCUGAUGCAGAUCUCACUCUCACACGGGAUAUAAACUGCUGCUCCUGCACAUCCUGUUAUGGGGUCGUAAAUAUGAACGUAAAGUCUGAGAAGUGCUGAUCAAAAUAAUUCUGUACUAUGCGCCAUGCUGGCAUUUGCUUCAACUUAUCCUUCAAUUUUUGCUGUAUCCUAAAGUCUACCUUUGGAGAUGAGAAUAACCAGGGAGAAAUGGAGGAGAUUGAGACUGCAGGGCAAUACUGUAGUUGACACAACCCUGCUUUUUCCGCCAUUACAUCGCCUACCCACCCAAAGCUUGUGUGAUUGGAGUUCCCAGCAGUCUGUCAGAAUGCUUUUAGUUGGGGGCAUCUCUCCCACUUCCACCUGCAUUGCUGAUACCGGAGAUGUUGUGAUUGAUCCACUGAUGAUUCUCAAUGCUUGAGCUUGCAGUACAUCCAAUUUCUUGAGAUGUCCAGCAGCUCUUUGUGCCUAAAGAAGAGCAGCAGGAGGAUCCAGAGCCCCCCCACAUUAAAGAGGAAC